rnacentral:lncRNA from 1 species
UGAAUUUUUUUAAAAAAAGCAAGUGUACUACUGAUCUACAAAGAGCAGAAGACACUUCCUCAAACUGGAUUGCACAAUGAGGACACUGACAAGUUCACGUGACUGGACGUCUAGCAGAAGGAGGAGGGCCCCAGGUGUGUCUAUCACGUGGGUCACACGAGCCAGACCACGGACGUAGCACUGGGAAGAGUGUUCAGCUUUCAUCAGACAUUAUUUGAUGCAGACUUCUCAAACAUUUAAGGGCUUGGUCAAGAUGAAGGAAGUGGUCUUGAAGGUGACUCGGAUCCCAGCAUUGCAAAUCUGAGGAUGGGGGUAAGAGAAGCCGCUUGGAGGCACCUCGGGGGUUCCUGAGUCCAUAGAGCAUUCCUUUCAGCAAGUUUGAACCAGCUGUGGGUAAACCAGGGGGGCCUUUCAGUUUGUUGUACAUUGCUUAACUGUUUAGAGCAAGAGAUGCAGAAAUUGACAGUGUGUUCAAUGUCCUCCAUCAGAGAAUAAGCUUUCUUUUGUAUUGAGAUCCAAAUUGAGCUAGCAGUCUUUGCUGCUGCGACACAAGAAUAAGAGGAUUCAAGGAAAAAGAAAAGAAAAGAAAAAGAAAGAAAAAAAAACCGCUUCCUAUUAUUUUCACCAAGUUAAGGUUACCUUUCAUUUCAUUCAGCAUUCCAAAACCUGAACUUAAUCCCCAGCUUUCAAAGUUGCGGGGUUCUCUUCCUUCCAUUAUGUCAUGUGCUAGGCACUCAGGAGUUCCAUUGUUAUAAAUCUCAGAACAAUGAACGGAUGGAAGAAUUAAUGGAACAUUAAAAGGUCAUCUGGGUAAUUGCCACUUGCUAUUUAAAGAAUUUAUGAGUCAAGCCAAUUCAACUGCUACACAGCGGCCAUAUGGAAAUACCUUUUCCAGGUAUGUUCUUCGUUUGCCUGCUCAGCAGAAUGUCUGAGGAUGCACAGGCGCCUACAUCCGUCAGGUGUUGACGCACAGCCUCCUCGACUGUUCACCGCCUGGGCAUUCCGCGUAUCUUGUGUGCUGAUGAC